rnacentral:lncRNA from 1 species
GCGUCUCCAAAGCUGCGUGCCUAGUGUUGCUGUGUAGUUUAGAACCGGAGCAGUAGGACCCAGGGGCCUCCGCAGCCACCAAUAGAAGCGCACACUUGGACCUAUUUGUAUGCAAUGCCUUCUGCUCUGCGCAUUAAUAGUAAUACAGAUAACGGGUUUGAAAGAAUUCUCUACCGAAGAAGGAUUGAAUUUUUCCAGGGUGCUGAUACCGAGAAGAAACCCGACUUCACUCUCUCCCCAUUUUCCCACUCUUAGGUUGAAAAGUCUCAGACACCUUUCGCUUGGUUUAAACUCGGAAAGGUCUCAGUGCACAGCAAAGUUGGAGGGGCUGCGUCUGCACUACGGCGCCGCUAGAUCGCUGAAAACGGGCUUAUCCAAGGACUAAACAGAGGGAAGAGAAUGAUCACAGCAACACACUCUAAAAGCAGGGACAUUCUGGAGGUGACUACUUCACUUGCUGUAUACUUCGAUGGUUGUUAAUUCCAGGAAUGGCCAGCCAAAGAGGUUUGCUAAACAACUGUUGUGUUUCUCUAAUUUUCUCUCAUUCUUGUGUUCUCUUGCUCUCUUUUCUCCUUACCACUCUACACUUCUCCCUCUCAACUUGUGUCAAGACAGACCAGCUUCAUAUUUAACUUCUGUUCGACCAAACCCAUGUUCAGGCAUUUUUUAUUCUAUUUUUGUGAUCAG